UCGUAGGCACAAAUUAAAACGUCUGAUU
rnacentral:misc_RNA from 1 species